rnacentral:rRNA from 1 species
UCCAGACUCCUACGGGAGGCAGCAGUGGGGAAUAUUGCACAAUGGGGGAAACCCUGAUGCAGCGACGCCGCGUGAGCGAUGAAGUAUUUCGGUAUGUAAAGCUCUAUCAGCAGGGAAGAAGAUGACGGUACCUGACUAAGAAGCCCCGGCUAACUACGUGCCAGCAGCCGCGGUAAUACGUAGGGGGCAAGCGUUAUCCGGAUUUACUGGGUGUAAAGGGAGCGUAGACGGCGAUGCAAGCCAGAUGUGAAAGCCCGGGGCUCAACCCCGGGACUGCAUUUGGAACUGUGUGGCUGGAGUGUCGGAGAGGCAGGCGGAAUUCCUAGUGUAGCGGUGAAAUGCGUAGAUAUUAGGAGGAACACCAGUGGCGAAGGCGGCUUUCUGGCUCAUAACUGACGCUGAGGCGCGAAAGCGUGGGGAGCAAACAGGAUUAGAUACCCCAGUAAAU